UCAGGUUUUGGAGUGGUGGGCCGAAGAGAAGAGGAGAAAAGAGAAAUGACUCACGCAGUGAAAAUGAAGUAUAUUUAAAGGAUUAGAACACCCGAGGUUUUUUAGUACAGCUGAACUUAAGAGGAAGAAGGUGACAGGCUGGAAGCAGCACUCUGAGGUCAUCGCUUGGCAAACACAUCUGGGAAGUGCAGCUUUUGCCUCGGGGUUUGCAACCGUUCCAUAACACAUGACCGAGAGAAGGCAAGACACUGCUGAAACUUAAGGUUGGUCAAGCAUUGUUGGAAUUCACCACGAAACUAGGAACUCACCCUUUUUGAUACCACAGAAGGGUGUAAUUACCUUCACCUGAAUUCAACAACUGCCACUCCUCUCCGGAAGAGUCCUCUUCUGAAGAACAGCAGGAAUUGCAGGAACUGCCCUACCCAGGAAGAACCUAGGGGCUUUCACCUCCUUAAAAGAUGAAGAUGGAAGACACUUCAGAUGAGGAUGAGUCUACAAAGGCAUCCUG